GAUGAACGCUGGCGGCGUGCUUAACACAUGCAAGUCGAACGAAGCACUUUAUUUGAUUUCCUUCGGGACUGAUUAUUUUGCGACUGAGUGGCGGACGGGUGAGUAACGCGUGGGUAACCUGCCUUGUACAGGGGGAUAACAGUUGGAAACGGCUGCUAAUACCGCAUAAGCGCACAGCAUCGCAUGAUGCAGUGUGAAAAACUCCGGUGGUAUAAGAUGGACCCGCGUUGGAUUAGCUAGUUGGUGAGGUAACGGCCCACCAAGGCGACGAUCCAUAGCCGACCUGAGAGGGUGACCGGCCACAUUGGGACUGAGACACGGCCCAAACUCCUACGGGAGGCAGCAGUGGGGAAUAUUGCACAAUGGGCGAAAGCCUGAUGCAGCGACGCCGCGUGAGCGAAGAAGUAUUUCGGUAUGUAAAGCUCUAUCAGCAGGGAAGAUAAUGACGGUACCUGACUAAGAAGCACCGGCUAAAUACGUG
rnacentral:rRNA from 1 species